CCCAAUCAAAAAUCCAAAAACCCAAAAGCCCGACCCAAUCAAAAAUCCAAAAACCCGACCGGGCGGAUCUUCUCUAAUCGCCUCAAUCAGAAAUCCAAAAACCUGACCCGGUCGGAUCUUCGGUCGGUGGUGCGACAAGAGGGGGAGAGGGUGGCACCAACACAAAGGACUGAUUCCUACAGCAAUUGGCCUAUCCAUUACCUUAGGGUGCAUGAUGAGUUCAGAAGGGUGAUCGUUGCGGGAAUAUAUAUGGCUAUUGGUUUUGGAAGAUGGACUUCUGGAACCAUGAUGCUUAUCGGGAUAAUUACGCAGUAAAAGAAAAAGGUGACCCAGUGUGCUAUUAUCUUCCUUACUAAGAAGAACGCGUAGAUGACAUGGAACUUCUUCCAAACGGAUACCCUCUGCAUAGUAAAAUUAGCGGGACCACACGACCAUCGAUGCUGUUGAUAUCGAUAAGCUUUGAAGGACAUCAUUGGUGGAGUCAUCGAGAACCUGAACAACGAGACGGUCCGAUGGCCAUGUAAGAGAACACACCGAUCCAAUCGAGAGCUUGUAGACCUGAUAAGAAUAUAUGCAGGUCAGAUAUUCAUUUGAUGCUUAUUUGGUAAGCCAUCUUUCUUAUGUUACCGAUCACCGUCAAAAUCAACAACAAUAUUGUCGAUAUAAACGGAUUUGGUAAGCCAUCUUUCUAUGCACUGAACAAACAUCGUACAUGUAUUAAAUCAAACAUAAGUACCUCUUUUUCAUUGAACAUCGGUAUUUGAACCAACACCAUGGGGUAACGUCGGUUUUGUUCAAGAUCUUCUUUCAACGCUUCCAACUUAUACUGAGUGUACUUCUUCUUUCCCGUAAACUUCACCAAAAGAAGCACGACAGUCAUGUACACGCGUUCAAUGAACAUCAUUAUCGACAUCGUCACACAUAUACAAAUUGCAACCGUCAGUGGCGGGAUCACCAUCGAAACCCUCAUAUCCCGCCACAUAUCGGUGAAACUCCCGCUAAAAUCGUACGCCGAUUUCACCUCCGGCUCGCCCCGAAACAAAUUUCUCAUGGUGAAGAGUACAGUGUACAGAGAUUGUUUAGAGGAGAGUGCGUAGAAAGAUUGAAGCUAUGCUUUAUAUAGAACGGGAUUGAGUUUACGCCGAAGAUGCUGACAUGGCACUCGCUUAGGUGGAAGAUGGUGGUGCAUUGAGUGAACCGCUAAAAUGGGCCUCUGGCAACAAUUACAGAUUAAGGCAAAGACGGGAGAGUGGAAUCAUCAUCAUCGCUGCGGUUUCUCCUCAUCUUGUACAUUUGACAUUAUUGUGUCUUUCCACAGCUAUAACACAUUUUAACUUUUGCUUUAAUGUCCACUCACCAUUGACAUGAAAACACUUCCAAAAUUUGUCAGAUUUGUUUGUAGUCUUUUUAUAUAUAUUUAAUCAUCAAUUAUUUGUUGAA